ACAUUUAUUUAUUUUGAAGUUUUCAUAGUUUGAAAUUGCCGCUCCAGGUGCGCUCUUAUCGAUAAGUGGCCGCCACUAAGUGUGACCCCAGACUGCAAGCAGUGUGGCCAGUGUAGCCCCAAAACAGGGCUACCCAACACUAAUCGAUUGCUAUCGAUAGGCUCGCUGCAGCCCUAGUAAAGCGCAUGUUACAUCAUUUGGAGUCAAAAAAUAGCUUAAAAUUAUUAAAAAUUGCCACAACAAAUCACCUGCAGCUGCAACUGGAUUCAACUAAAUCAAAUGCACUGAAAUGUGCAUGCAUUUGACAGCUGAACAUCGUUUGAACCGCUAGGGGCUAGGACAAACCAACCGACGGGGCACGACAGGCGGCAACACGCAGGCGAAAAAUAAAUAUACAAAUAUAAAACAAUACGAUGAGCGAGAGCAAUAAUCAGUUUUGAGACGUUGAUUUUUGAACAAAUCCAAAA